AAAGAAAACUUUAUUUAACUCUACUUUUAACUUUACCGUUUCAGAUAAGCGGGUAUUACGUCGCAGUCAUGUGCCGCGGGUAUUACGUCAAUAGGCGGAAAUCCCGCCAAGAUUCAAAUCUGUGGGCGCGGAUUGCCGUGAGCGCGACAGCGGAUACAAACACGACGAUUAUCAACAGAAAUAUCUUUAUUUUCUGCUUGCAACUGGACCGUCUAGAGCGUACACGGUUCCACGGUGUUCUUUGGCUGUAUGUUUUCCACUG